rnacentral:misc_RNA from 1 species
GAUGAAGAACGCAGCGAAAUGCGAUAAGUAAUGUGAAUUACAGAAUUCAGUGAAUCAUCGAAUCUUUGAACGCACAUUGCGCCCCUUGGUAUUCCGAGGGGCAUGCCUGUUCGAGCGUCAUUUCAACCCUCAAGCACAGCUUGGUCUUGGGCUUCGCCGCUAACCCGGCGGGUCUUAAAAUCAGUGGCGGUGCCGUCGGGCCCUGAGCGCAGUAAUCUCUCUCGCUAUAGGGUCCCGGCGGAUGCUGGCCAGUAACCCCCAAUUUUCUAUGGUUGACCUCGGAUCAGGUAGGGAUACCCGCUGAACUUAAGCAUAUCAAUAAGCGGAGGA